UCGGGAAUUUUGGGCAAUGGGCGAAAGCCUGACCCAGCAACGCCGCGUGAAGGAUGAAGUAUUUCGGUAUGUAAACUUCGUAAGAAUAGGAAGAAUAAAUGACGGUACUAUUUGUAAGGUCCGGCUAACUACGUGCCAGCAGCCGCGGUAAUACGUAGGGACCAAGCGUUGUUCGGAUUUACUGGGCGUAAAGGGCGCGUAGGCGGUGUGUCAAGUCAGUUGUGAAAUCUCCGAGCUUAACUCGGAACGGUCAACUGAUACUGUCACACUAGAGUACAGAAGGGGCAAUCGGAAUUCUUGGUGUAGCGGUGAAAUGCGUAGAUAUCAAGAGGAACACCUGAGGCGAAGGCGGGUUGCUGGGCUGAUACUGACGCUGAGGCGCGAAAGCUAGGGUAGCAAACGGGAUUAGAUACCCUGGUAGUCCCUGAGCGGGCUGGCAAGGCGCAU
rnacentral:rRNA from 1 species